CGCAGCCGUUGACGGAGCCCUGUCACGUGGGAGACUCUCCACGCAUGCGCGGAACACUGAGUGGACGGCACUGUGAGCUGUAAACUGCUCGUGCAGCAGGGCUGCGGGGAAGGCAGGGCCUGGCCACCGGCUGUUCCUGACUCAGAGCUGGAGAGCGCAGCAGCUCUGCACCUGUUCACCUGAUGGUGAAGGCAGGAAAAGCCAUUACCGAGUGACAGGAGACAAAAAACCAAACUCCACUUCAGCAACUCAUCCCACGGCUGGUGAUUAAUCUCACACUCCCACAGCCUGAUGCGCAUUAACCAGCUAAUCUUCAUUUGUUAAAUGGGACCCACUAAGAGACACCUCUGAGCGGGCCUGUGAGGAUAAUUCCUAGAUGACCUGAAAGUGUGGGAGACAUGCCUUCCCGUGGCCGCACAGCUAAGAAAGAAAAUCAAAACUGGUGCAGGACAAGAAAAGCAAAGCUAGCAAUCUGGGUCCACAGGGAAACCUGCGUGCGGAUUGGAUAGCAACCCUGGUCAUAACUGUCCAAACUCAGGAGCAGCCAAGGCAUCCUUCAGUGGGCAACUGGAUAGAUGCAUCCUGUGGAUAAACGGAUAAAUGGAAAAAACACACUAUGGAAUAUCUAUAAAGUGGACUGCUAUUUGGUGCUUACAAAGAUAUAAGCCACCAAACCAUGAAAAGGGCAUAAAGGAAGCUUAAAUGCAUGCUUCUAAGAAGCCAGUCUGAAAUUACUACCUACUAUAUAGUCAGGACAGCAUGGUGUUUUAGAAAGACUAAAUUAUGAAGAUAAUAAAAAAUAAAAAUAAAAUAAUAACAGAAGACAGAAGGGGAAGAGGGGGGUUUUAGGGUUUUAGGGCUCGGAAAUAAUUUUACAUAAAACUUCACUGGUUAGCAUGAAAUUGUUAUGAUGAUGGGUAAUUAUCAUCUUAUGUUUGCCCGAUAUCAUGGCCUGUGUGGACGGACCUAGCUGUAGGUCAUGGAUCUGAGUCACGGAGACGUAUCAGUGCUGGCCAACCCGUGGAAACAGACCCACCACACUAGUGGUCGAUGCUGACAGAAGGAGCGGCCAAACCUGUGCAGAGGGAAGUGAGCAGAGGGGAAAUCUCAAACUACUCCAAAACGCAGAGUGAAGGGAAGAGACAAACUAUGGUCUGGAAGUUCAGAAUGAGUCUGAGCACCUUACCGGCCAGUGUGAGUCCUAUCCAGGAUGGACUGGGUUCUCUGGGAAAGCAGAGUGGGGAGAAAGGUGGGUGUAAGGCGGUUGGAUGAAGGAACACUGUCGAAAACAAUUUCUCAGCAUCCUACGGCCAUUCAGAUGUGUCAAGAGCCAGACUUAGUGAAAGGCCUACACAUCAGUGAGACUUCUCGCAGACUAUGACUGACAUUUGCAAACUGUGGACAGACAUACCACCACUCAAGUCGGCCUUUUCCGUGUCUGUUUCUCCACAAAUUUAUUUGCAAGCUAACCAAUGUUAUACUCUUUCAAUAUAUGCAUUAUGUAUCUUUCAAUAUAUGCAUUAUAUAUCUUUCUAUACUAAUGGCUUCAUAACAAUUAUUCAGUUAUAACUAUGGGUACAGUAUUAUAUAUACAUAUAUAUGUGUGUAUGUGUGUGUGUGUGUAUAAAAUGAUGCACACAAUAUGGAUUUUUAUACAGACAUUUUUAUGUGCUUUUUCCAGUGAUAUUAAAUAAACAUACAAUCUUAUGUUUAAUAUUUAGAAUCUUUUUAACAGAGUGGCUUUCCUAUUCCAUACAACUCACAGGUUGGGGCUUUGCAGCCUGGAGACCUGGGAUCCUGCAUAGGAACCCUAAGCUUUCCCGAGCCUUCUCAUACCACAGCUCUUGAUGACACCGAUGCUUUCCUGUUUCUAACUUAGAAAUAAAAAUGUCUUCCCUGCCUUCCAUCAAGGGGAGACUGUGUAUAUCAAAUGAUAUGGAGAAUAUUGUACUUCCUGGUGUGUAAAAUGCUAUAUGCUAAAGGUCCCUAUUGUUAGUGAUGGUUGGCAAUUUGGAAGAAGCCCGGGAAAUCUGUUAUGUUUAUAUUUAAAGCCAUGAGAACAAUUUCUAUACUUUCAUGACUGUAAAAUGUUCUCAUAUCCUGAGGAAUGAAGAGAAGAACAAAAGCUGGGCAGUCGUGGUACACACCCGGAACCCCAGCCCUUGGGAGGCAGAGGCAGGUGGCUCUCUGAGCUCAAAUCCAGACUGGUCUGCAGAGUGAGUCCAGGACAGCCAGGGAUACUCAGAAAAACUCUAGCUCAAAUACACACACACACACACACACACACACACACACACACACACACACACACACACACACGGUGGAGGGGGAGGAGAAGUGGAGGGAAAUAAUACUAUAUGCUAUUUCCUGUGUGAGUCACAGCACGUGACAAUGGUGUACUUUUCAAAUAGAAAUUAUAACAUCCAGAGCUUACUCAGGGGCCUGUGAGAUAGUCAGUCCAUUGGGUAAAGACCCUUGCUGCUAAGCCUGACAACCUGAAUUCAGUCUUAGGACCUAAAUGGCACAGGCAGAGAGACUCCAGCGGAUUGUUCCCAGUCCUGUGUGGACAUGCUGUGGUAUGCAUGCCCUUCUCCCAAGAUAAAGAAAUAAAUACAGAAAGGGAAUUUAAACUUUUUAAUAGAACAGCUUGUCCCACUAGGCUCUGACUGAGAUGGAUGGCGUCCCUUCCCUCUUUGGUCACUGUCUGCCAUCCUUCUGCAUUGCAGCGUCCAUGAGCUUGGGUACCAACAAAGAUAGAGAAUCUGUUGGCAGCCAAAGGUUCAGUCCCCACUCACCUCUCACAGGGUGGGCUUACUAACAAAGAUUUGUGCUAUUUCUUGACUAAGAAACCUCUUUUAAAAAAAUCCGUAUUAGUAGUGCGCCCAUAUGUGUACUUGUCCUGACACAGUUUCACAUAUUUAACAUUGAUUAUUACAUGAGCUUCAUUACACAAACAAAAUAAAAUGUUAUUUACAAAAACACUCUUUCCCCACUAUAAUUUAAAUGCAUUUCUGAGAGGUCAUUUUUCAAACCAUUAGUGGCCCUGCAAUUUCCUAAAACUUUCAGCUUUCCCCAGAAAGAAUACUCACAGAAAACACCUCUGUUCCAAAGAGGGCCUUUUGACCAUGUAAACUAAACACGUCUAAUUACCAGGAGAAAUUGCCAAAAUACUCAAUUGUACAAUUUCCGAAAAGACUUACAGCAGGAAAUGUUUUUUUUUCCUCUGGGUCCUGCUCAUUCUUGAUAACUCCUCAGCCAAGACAGAAGAGUGUCCGUUAUCACUGGUCCUGCCAGUCUGAUGACAGAAUGGUCAUGGUGGUCAAGGGAAAAAGGUCACUAUCUCCUGUCCUGCAUCAGACACUGGCCACUGUGACAGACAGAGGCUUCAGAUGUUUCAUCGCCCGCCCACAACUCCUAGGCUCCAAGACAGGAGAGAUUUGUUUCUAAAAUGCUGCUUUCUGGGACUGGAGAGAUGUCUUCGACUAUAAAAGACCCGACCCCCAGCACACAGCCUGGGGCCGACUCAUUAUUUUCAAAUUCAUCGUGUGCCUUGCGUUAGCGUCUUCUACCGGACCAGAAACUAUCAGAAGACUGGAGCACAUCCUGAUUCAUCCUACUAUCUCCUUAAAGAAGCCAUCUUCCAGCUUGUGCACAAACACCCUGCCAAGGAGGAUUUCGGCCACCACCAUUCUUUUCUUCGGGACACGGUUAAGCAUCGAUGAAGGAAAACCCUAUUCAUAGACUUCCCCAGAGAAACAGAAGGGCGGGGCUCACUGGCUGGGCAAGUCUUUUCAUUGAAGUGGGGAUACAGAGAAACAGAGGCAGCUACACUGUCCUGCUCAUUAGCUGGGUAGAAUCACCGGGCAAGAAGGUUAAUAAUUACACAAGUAAUUAACACUACCUUCAGAUUUAGUCUCUAAUCCUACAGUUGCAGGAUUUCAACUUUGGUCCCCAAGUCCAAGGGAAGAUGAGAGCAGAAUGGUGGUGGGCCCAACCAGCACGGAGAGUCCCCGAGAACCAGGAGGUGACUCUGGGCUUCUAACCUCCCCAUGCACAGGUAGAGCUACAGCACACAGAUGGCCCAGCCACACUCCACUCUAAUUUCUAAUAAUCAACCGUCUAUUUUUUUGUUUGUGCUUUUUGUUCUGUGGCAGCAAGAGGUGGAGUCACAUGAGCCACACAGGUAUUUGACACCCCUCCCUCCCUUCACGCCUACACACUGUACAUUUGGUGUCGCUGUUUAUUAACGAUAACUAAUACCCUGAGUCUUUAUUUACUUCUGUUUAUUGCUGUUUUAGCCAAAGUCACUGGAGAACAGCUAGGCUUCUGGUCCACACGCAUUCUUUAAUCACUGUUAGUCGGCAAAAUCAUCUGUGACAACUAAUCCAAAAAGCAGAUUAUAUUUAUUUUGGCUACA